ACAUGCUUGCAGCAUAGCAUUAACGCACCAAAUCCCAUUAUAAAUUCAUAGUUAAACGUGCUCAAGCUAGAGUAGUACUAGGAUGGGUGACCUCCUGGGAAGUCCUUGUGUUUUACAUGCC
rfam:Picea glauca, whole genome shotgun sequence.